rnacentral:rRNA from 1 species
GAUGAACGCUAGCUACAGGCUUAACACAUGCAAGUCGAGGGGCAUCAGGAAGAAAGCUUGCUUUCUUUGCUGGCGACCGGCGCACGGGUGAGUAACACGUAUCCAACCUGCCCUUUACUCGGGGAUAGCCUUUCGAAAGAAAGAUUAAUACCCGAUGGCAUAAUGAUUCCGCAUGGUUUCAUUAUUAAAGGAUUCCGGUAAAGGAUGGGGAUGCGUUCCAUUAGCUUGUUGGCGGGGCAACGGCCCACCAAGGCGACGAUGCGUAGCCGGCCUGAGAGGGCGGACGGCCACACUGGGACUGAGACACGGCCCAG